GACGAACGCUGGCGGCGUGCCUAAUACAUGCAAGUCGACCUUAGUGGCGAACGGGUGAGUAACACGUGGGUAACCUGCCCAUCAGAAGGGGAUAACACUUGGAAACAGGUGCUAAUACCGUAUACUGAUGGAUGGACCCGCGGUGCAUUAGCUAGUAGGUGGGGUAACGGCUCACCUAGGCGACGAUCCCUAGCCGGUCUGCGAGGAUGAUCAGUCACCCUGGAACUUGGACACGGUCCAGACUCCUACGGGAGGCAGCCGUGGGGAAUAUUGGACAAUGGGCGAAAGCCUUAUCCAGCCAUGCCGCGUGUGUGAAGAAGGUCUUCGGAUUGUAAAGCACUUUAAGUUGGGAGGCGUUACCCGCAGAAGAAGCACCGGCUAACUCCGUGCCAGCCGCCGCGGUAAUAC
rnacentral:rRNA from 1 species